rnacentral:rRNA from 1 species
GAUGAACGCUAGCGGCAGGCCUAACACAUGCAAGUCGAGGGAUAAGCCUUCGAGCUAAGUCCGGCGCCCGUGUGCGUAACGCGUAUACAAUCUGCCUUUUAUCCGGGCUAUAGCCCGAAGAAAUUUUGAUUAAUACCCUAUGGUAUAAGAGCACGGCAUCGAGCACUUAUUAACGCUACGGCGGUAAAAGUUGAGUAUGCGUUCUAUUUGCUAGCUGGAGAGGUAACCGCUCUCCAAGGCGACGAUAGAUAGGGGUUCUGAGUGGGAUGUCCCCCACACUGGUACUGAGGUACGGACCAGACGCCUACGGGAGGCAGCAGUGAGGAAUAUUGGACAAUGGUCGGAAGACUGAUCCAGCCAUGCCGCGUGCAGGAGGACGGCGUUAUGGGUAGUAAACUGCUUUUGUAAGAGAAGAAUAAGGAGUACGAGUACUUUGAUGACGGUACCUUACGAAUAAGCAUCGGCUAACUCCGUG